rnacentral:lncRNA from 1 species
GCUAUAGCUUACAUAGCUAAAAUAAACAGCAUGUUGUUUUUUUGGCUUUUUUUUUCAGCAUAAAGCAGUGCUGUGAACAAGCAAGGAAAAUAAGUGAAAGGGGAGGAAGUACUUCAGCCUGAGGAGAGCAUUCUAGGGAGCUGCAAGCAUGCACAGUUGUUGCAAGAAAAGCAGGAUCCCACUUGAGUCAAGAACUGCCAGCUAAAACUGUUCUUUCCUGGGAACUUUCCCUGGACUCAGAAAGAGUACCUGCACAAAGAGGUGAAGGUGAUUCUGUUCGUCUGACGUCCCUUCUACCAACCAGAUCUUCUUGAAUUUGAGAUGCAUCAUAUAAUGCAGAUGCUUAGAAAUGGUGAAUCCAAAGCUGGCACACUGUUUAUUUUAUUUUGUUGCA